rnacentral:rRNA from 1 species
CGAAGCGUGCGAUUGGAUUGCACGUCUAAGCAGUAAGGCUGAGUAUUAGGCAAAUCCGGUACUCGUUAAGGCUGAGCUGUGAUGGGGAGAAGACAUUGUGUCUUCGAGUCGUUGAUUUCACACUGCCGAGAAAAGCCUCUAGAUAGAAAAUAGGUGCCCGUACCGCAAACCGACACAGGUAGUCAAGAUGAGAAUUCUAAGGUGAGCGAGCGAACUCUCGUUAAGGAACUCGGCAAAAUGACCCCGUAACUUCGGGAGAAGGGGUGCUCUUUAGGGUUAACGCCCAGAAGAGCCGCAGUGAAUAGGCCCAAGCGACUGUUUAUCAAAAACACAGGUCUCUGCUAAACCGUAAGGUGAUGUAUAGGGGCUGACGCCUGCCCGGUGCUGGAAGGUUAAGAGGAGUGGUUAGCUUCUGCGAAGCUACGAAUCGAAGCCCCAGUAAACGGCGGCCGUAACUAUAACGGUCCUAAGGUAGCGAAAUUCCUUGUCGGGUAAGUUCCGACCCGCACGAAAGGCGUAACGAUUUGGGCACUGUCUCAACGAGAGACUCGGUGAAAUCAUAGUACCUGUGAAGAUGCAGGUUACCCGCGACAGGACGGAAAGACCCCGUGGAGCUUUACUGUAGCCUGAUAUUGAAAUUCGGCACAGCUUGUACAGGAUAGGUAGGAGCCUUUGAAACGUGAGCGCUAGCUUACGUGGAGGCGCUGGUGGGAUACUACCCUAGCUGUGUUGGCUUUCUAACCCGCACCACUUAUCGUGGUGGGAGACAGUGUCAGGCGGGCAGUUUGACUGGGGCGGUCGCCUCCUAAAAGGUAACGGAGGCGCUCAAAGGUUCCCUCAGAAUGGUUGGAAAUCAUUCAUAGAGUGUAAAGGCAUAAGGGAGCUUGACUGCGAGACCUACAAGUCGAGCAGGGUCGAAAGACGGACUUAGUGAUCCGGUGGUUCCGCAUGGAAGGGCCAUCGCUCAACGGAUAAAAGCUACCCCGGGGAUAACAGGCUUAUCUCCCCCAAGAGUUCACAUCGACGGGGAGGUUUGGCACCUCGAUGUCGGCUCAUCGCAUCCUGGGGCUGUAGUCGGUCCCAAGGGUUGGGCUGUUCGCCCAUUAAAGCGGUACGCGAGCUGGGUUCAGAACGUCGUGAGACAGUUCGGUCCCUAUCCGUCGUGGGCGUAGGAAAUUUGAGAGGAGCUGUCCUUAGUACGAGAGGACCGGGAUGGACAUACCUCUGGUGUACCAGUUGUCGUGCCAACGGCAUAGCUGGGUAGCUAUGUGUGGACGGGAUAAGUGCUGAAAGCAUCUAAGCAUGAAGCCCCCCUCAAGAUGAG